UAACACCAAAAAAAGAAAAAAAAAUCUUCUGUCUUAAAUCCCAUAUCUUACAGAGACCUUCAGAAGCUGUUGAAUAGUCGUAAUAUAGUAUUUGUUCGGCCUUAAGGACGGUUGUCUGAAGUCUUUAUCCCGGGCUUAAAGACGAACCAAUAGCAAUUUUUGAUCAUACGCAAGAUAUAGGUCUGGCAUGAUACUAGUUACCCUUUUUUUCAAAGUCCCGUGCAUUGGAGUUAUAUCAUGCUAAUUGAGCUAAAUCCAUUAAGACUCCAGUUUUGUGCUUCAAACUUGGUUUUGUUCGCGCAGCGGAGUUUCAGAUCCCCUUUAAUCCUUAGACCGCCAUUUUGAAUCGAAUGACAUUGUAGGGAGGCCCGAUCUCUCGUUAGUUUUGCGCCAUAGAGAGUCUACAAAAGUCUUGUUUUGGGCUGUAAUAUUGUGCCCUUCGACGAAAUAAAAUUGGACGGAAAUAAUAUUUAUAUAGGUUGAACGGGCUGAGAGGUCAUGGGACUCUUCACAUGGUAUCAGGCACAAAUAUGUUUGAUGGACCAAGGCUUUGAAAUCCACGAUGAAAACCUUUUAGCUGCUCGUCGGGUAAAAAAAACUAUAUAUGAUAACUAAAAUAUUUAUCAAAGAAAAAUUAUGUUUUAUUAUACACCCAUCCUGUUUGAGAAGCGAAACAACACGGUCAAAAGUUUGAAUAUGAUAAUUUUUUUAAACCCUCGGGUGAAAUUUUGUGCAAUUUCUUACAGUGCAUUCAUUCAUUUUAAAAUACAACUAUUUUAUAUUACAAUGUCAGUUGAGAACAUCGUCCAAAGUUUGACAGAAGUAUAUAGAGCAUAAAUGCAGUAUCCGAAUGUUAUAUUUAUGAUGUAAAAUAGUAGUCUAGAAAGCUUUAUUGGGGGAGCAAAACUAUAAACAUGUCUAUUUGUUUUUAAUUUCAUGUAACUGGACCCAUGCUCGAAGCCCAUUAACGCCAUGCUCAGGAAAAUCAUACACAGUGUCAAAGAAAUUGUAGCUUUAUUUCAAAAAAUAAAACCUCUGAUUUAUAUAA